rnacentral:rRNA from 1 species
AGUGAACGCUGGCGGUAGGCCUAACACAUGCAAGUCGAACGGCAGCACAGUAAGAGCUUGCUCUUACGGGUGGCGAGUGGCGGACGGGUGAGGAAUACAUCGGAAUCUACUUUUUCGUGGGGGAUAACGUAGGGAAACUUACGCUAAUACCGCAUACGACCUACGGGUGAAAGCAGGGGAUCUUCGGACCUUGCGCGAUUGAAUGAGCCGAUGUCGGAUUAGCUAGUUGGCGGGGUAAAGGCCCACCAAGGCGACGAUCCGUAGCUGGUCUGAGAGGAUGGUCAGCCACACUGGAACUGAGACACGGUCCAGGCUCCUAAGGGAGGCAGCAGUGGGGAAUAUUGGACAAUGGGCGCAAGCCUGAUCCAGCCAUACCGCGUGGGUGAAGAAGGCCUUCGGGUUGUAAAGCCCUUUUGUUGGGAAAGAAAAGCAGCAGGUUAAUACCCCGCUGUUCUGACGGUACCCAAAGAAUAAGCACCGGCUAACUUCGUG